UUCUCUUUACUGAUCAUGUCGAAAACCAGUGUUUAGAUGGAUUGUACAGGUCACUUACAUGAUCUUUCUUCCAAAUCUACUGUCUGGAGCAGAUAAUUCCAUUUGGAUUCACUUAUUUAUUUGCCUGCGCUACACAACAAUCAUUGUGCAACUGAAAUUUUCAGAUGCUAUUGCUGCUGCAAGGGAUGAGUACAAAACAGUGUCAAGUAUCUUCUGACCUUUUUUGUGUGCUUCCAAACUGUUCAAUCUACUGAAGAACAUGACUCUCACAGUCUCAUAAAUAAUCUGAGUCAUGGUGAAUGCACUACCUUUUGUGUUUAUUAGCUAUAUGCUCCAUUUCUGAUAGAGACUUACAAUGCACUCUGUAAAUGCUUAUCUGAUAUUUCAGGAAUGAUGAUGAAGCCAUCAAUGUUCC
rnacentral:lncRNA from 1 species